AUUGAACGCUGGCGGCAGGCUUAACACAUGCAAGUCGAGCGAGCGGCGGACGGGGGAGUAAUGUCCGGGAAACUGCAUGAUGGAGGGGGAUAACCACUGGAAACGGUAGCUAAUACCGCAUACCAUCAGAUGUGCCCAGAGGGGAUUAGCUAGUAGGUGGGGAAAUGGCUCACCUAGGCGACGAUCCCUAGCUGGUCUGAGAGGAUGACCAGCCACACUGGAACUGAGACACGGUCCAGACUCCUACGGGAGGCAGCGGUGGGGAAUGUUGCACAAUGGGCGCAAUCCUGAUUCGGCCAUGCCGCGUGUGUGAAGAAGGCCUUCGGGUUGUAAAGCACUUUCGGCGAGGAGGCGUUACUCGCAGAAGAAGCACCGGCUAACUCCGUGCCAGCAGCCGCGGUAAUUC
rnacentral:rRNA from 1 species